rnacentral:rRNA from 1 species
UACGUAUGGUGCAAGCGUUAUCCGGAUUUACUGGGUGUAAAGGGCGCGUAGGCGGGGAUGCAAGUCAGAUGUGAAAUCUAUGGGCUCAACCCAUAAACUGCAUUUGAAACUGUAUCUCUUGAGUGCUGGAGAGGUAGAUGGAAUUCCUUGUGUAGCGGUGAAAUGCGUAGAUAUAAGGAAGAACACCAGUGGCGAAGGCGAUCUACUGGACUGUAACUGACGUUGAGGCUCGAAAGCGUGGGGAGCAA